UGGGGAAUAUUGCACAAUGGGCGCAAGCCUGAUGCAGCCAUGCCGCGUGUAUGAAGAAGGCCUUCGUGUUGUAAAGUACUUUCAGCGGGGAGGAAGGCGAUAAGGUUAAUAACCUUGUCGAUUGACGUUACCCGCAGAAGAAGCACCGGCUAACUCCGUGCCAGCAGCCGCGGUAAUACGGAGGGUGCAAGCGUUAAUCGGAAUUAAUGGGCGUAAAGCGCACGCAGGCGGUCUGUCAAGUCGGAUGUGAAAUCCCCGGGCUCAACCUGGGAACUGCAUUCGAAACUGGCAGGCUAGAGUCUUGUAGAGGGGGGUAGAAUUCCAGGUGUAGCGGUGAAAUGCGUAGAGAUCUGGAGGAAUACCGGUGGCGAAGGCGGCCCCCUGGACAAAGACUGACGCUCAGGUGCGAAAGCGUGGGGAGCAAACA
rnacentral:rRNA from 1 species